UGUUUGGAGCUAAUUAAAUAGGUUUGGAAGUUAAAAUUAGAAUGAAAUUAAAGAUUGGAGUUGAAAAACCUUCAAGGGUUGGGAUCACUUUUUGGAAACUGAAGAUUGCCAAAAGUUAGUGGGCGAGUCACCAAAUGGGUCCUUACAUAGCCAAAAAAUCAAGAGAAGUUUUAGGUUCAAUCAUUGAUCGCGAUCCCAUAAGCCCAAGGCUGCGAUAAUGUAGAAUUGAUAGGAGCACAGUCGCGAUUGCAAGGAGAGGGUAGCGACCAAGAUUACUCGUGGUCAGGUAAAAAAAAAAAAGACCAAGUCUUUUCAUUUUUACCAAACAUCCAUUUUCUCCCAAAGCUGAUCCAAAAUUCUUCUUGUUUUUCACAAAGAAUUUCCUUUUCCUGUGAUUGAUUACACUCAAAAGUUCAUCAAGAGUCAAUCUCCCAAGCUAACUGAUCUUCACAAUCGCAAGGCCCAAUUCCAAGAUCGUGAAGAGUGAAAAUGAGGUUGACCACAGUUGUACAUCGCUAUCGCGAGCGUCAAUUCCGCGAUCGGGAUGAGUUAAAUCCCUGGCAGUGAAACUGCCUAAAAAUAGUAACUUCACCCCAUCAUCCUCAAUUCAUUUUACAUCCAUUUCUUUAACCUAAAUUUAUGCUAAUACAUUGUUUUGCAUGCCUAUAUGAUUUUCUAAUAUGUUUGCAUCAUUUUUAGAUACUUUAGCUGUGCAAAAUGGCCGAGAAUGAUAUUCAAAAUGAGCAACGAGUUGAGGAACAAAUAAUUGAGGAUGAGUACUAUAACCAGUAGUUGUUUGUUUCAGCCAAGUGUCACCGAUUGAAUGGCUGCCUCACAUAAAAAAAAUUAUUAAGGAGAGGGGAAUUCUAUUGGAUAAUCUUUAAGCCAAAAUUCCCGGUCUUUAUAGAUGAUUGGACGCCAACGGCUGGAUGUGCUUUGCACUAGAUCCUAUCAAAGCAAAUAACUCUAUGGUUUGCGAAUUCUGUGCCAAUGCCAUCGAAAUAGACUUUAAUGGUGAUUUGGUGGUCAUGGUUUAAGAGAAGCAAGUCCGAUUUGACUUCGCCACUAUUAAUGUUUAUUAUGGCCUUCCUGCAACAGACAACGACGUGCACAAGGCAAGAGCACAGGCUGAAGGGCAAGAAUGGUGUUUGAGUCACUUACACGAUGGCCAUAGGCCAUAAUGGAUUGCUUUGAAUCUUAGGAUUGAUUCCUCCAAAUUCAACCUCAAGGCCAACACAUGGCUAUCUAUUAUUUGCAGCCAUAUCAUACCUUCAAGAAAUGAGAUCGAUGUGUCCCUUGGCAGGGUGAUGUUCAUUUGUGCGAUUAUGGAGGGUAUUUAACUCAAUGUUGGCGAGUUGAUUGUACAAAAAAUUCAUGAGGUAGUCAUUGGAGGUACAAAAAAUCUUUACUGAACUUUUUAGAUUACCUAUUUAUGCCUAAUAGCUGCGGUUGAACAAAAGAAAAUGAAUAGCCUGAAAAGUCUCAAAAAACCAUUUCAUCAAUUAAAGAUGAAUGAAAAGGGGGAUGUAGUGAAGAAAAGAAAGAUUGACAUACUUGAUUCGGCGUUUGGUACAUUCGCUGAGAGUAGUGCUUUCCUUGAUCUAUAAUCCACUUCUUUAUCUGGUGGGUUACUGUAAGUUGGGCCUCCAGCUUUGGUCCAUAUAUCCGGCCAAGUGCAUGGCGUGGAUUCAUAGAUUCGAGAGCUUGUAUAGUGCCUCCCUACCAGCCCUGGAGAGUCCUCCUCCUCCACUUCAGGUAUUAUGUCUUCGACCUUAUCUACUAUUAUGAGUAAGAAGCAGCAGAUUAAAGAUAGGUUGGCCAAGAUUGAGAGAAGGCAGAAGAAGAUGAAGGUUAUCGAGAAGAAGAAGAGCAAAUUCCUCAAUAAGAUGAUGGACAUUCAGAAGGUUCUGCGAUUCUGGAGAUCAUGAUGAUGAUGAUGAUGAUAUCCUUUCAGUCCCCAAUAACUCCAAUUUUAAUUAAGACAUCUCAAGGAGCCCCUGGUAUUCUCUGUUUGAUAUUUGUACUAUGAGGAGACACAAUUUUAUUUUCAGUUGGGGGUGCUUCACUUAGGGUCCUUUUGUAUAGUUGAUGUUGGGAUUUGUGAUUCUGGAUUAUUAUUGCUUCUGCUGAUUAUUUUGAUGUUUCCCUUGUCGGGCUUAUUAUGGAUUUGUGUGCCCUUGAUCAACCUUGAUGAUGAUUUAGAUGAUGUGCCAUUGUCGGUCUUUUUAUUUUGAUAUUGAUUGUGAUGGAUUAGUCAUUUUUUCUUUUUCUUCGUUAGUUUUCCUUACAUUUCAUAGUUUUUUUGUUUUCAAUUUCUUAGAUUGUGUUUCUGAAUGUUGAUGCCCUAUGAUGGAUAGAGUGACGACUUUCUUAAGAGAAAAUCAUUAGUUGGUUGUGAGUUUAUUUGAUAGUUAUUGUGAGGUGAAGUCUGAGUAAUCAUAUGCCAGUCUCGAAUAGAUGUAUGAGUUUGUCCGAUGAUGCAUUGGUUGACGACUUUCUUAAAGGAAAAAUUGUAGUCAUUUUGGAGGUUGUUAUUUUGUUGGUACUAAGAAUAUAGUCUUUUAUACCCCUCCAUUUUGAAAGAUGGGCAUAUUUUGAAUGAUUUUGUGACAACUCUUGUAACUCUUUUAGUGACAUUUGAUCCGUUAGUGGGUUGAAUGUUUGAUGCCACUUGAAUGUUCGAAAAGAAAAUAUGAUUUUCAACCAUCUUGAGUGAUUUUCAUUCCAUGUGUGGUGAGUUGUUGAAUAAUUCCUUAUGUUUGCUUGUUCUACCUAAAACUUGCCCGGUUGGUCUUGAAACAUUGGUCUUUAUUGAGUUUGGUUGGAUAAAUAAUCUUAGGUAUUUCUUGAUUGUUCUUAAAGUCCACUUGGCCUAAAAAUCCCAUAUUUGCACUAAAUAUAUCAUUAGUUGCCCCCUUUGAACCUAACUCCUUUUAUUGACAACCUUAUUACAAGCCUUACCCAUUUUGAAAAGACAUUUUCCUUUCGAACCCUUUUCCUCCUUGAAUUUAAAAUUGUGAAAGUAGAGGCCAAAAGCCUAAGUUGGGGGGGUGUUAUGGGAGACUCGUAGAAGGGAUGCCUAUCACAUAAGAGCUUGGUAAAAAAAAAGAGAGAUUGAUAAAAAAAAAUUGAUAAAUGGAGGAAAAAGUUGUCAAGAAUGAAAAGGUUGUGAAAAACAAGAAAAGAAACUGAAUAAAUGAGAUUUGAAUCCUUCAAAAAUUGAAAACAGUUGCAUGUGUGGGGCAUCUUGAAUGGAAAUGAAAAUUUAAAAUAUGCAGUGGUUUGAAUAGUGAUAAAAAAAGUAGAAAAAUUGGAAAAUGAUGAGUUGUUGAGUAAUUCAAGGAGGGUGUAGUCACUUAUGCCUAAAUGAUAUCCUAACCUUCAGCCUACAUUACAAGCUUAACAAAGUCCUUUGAGAUUUCUAACCAUAUGAACUUGAGUCAAUAAUGAUUGAAAAUAUGGGGAAGCCUAUGAUGUGUCAUUUGUGUUCAUAAGAUGUUCUAUUGUGUGUGUGAGUGUUUGUGUUUUUGUCCCUAGUUUGUACAUAUUUUGUGAGUGUUUGGGACAUUGUUUUUCUUGUGAGGGCAUGCAAAUUGAUUAAGUGGUGAUUUUGAAAUUUCCUAAUUGAAUCAAGUGAGCACGUACAAGAGCUAAAGAGUUGAGUCACUUCUUGAGUUUGAGUAGUUGUCAUUUAAUGAUUCUUGGUUCUUGAAAAAUAUAACAUGAAGUGACGGGGUUGUUUUUGGGAAAAGUUGCAUAAGGACUAUUUUUUAGUACCAACCAAAGUCAUGAUCAUGAUUCUUAGGUGAAAUGAAAGUGAGUUUUGCUUAUUUGAAUGCCUCUUGUGCUUUUGAUUUUGUUUUGCUUGAUGACAAACAAAUUUUUCUAAGUUGGGGCUAGUGAUGAGUGGGUAUUUUUACCCACUUUUCUCGUAUGUAAACUCAUAAUAUUGCCUUGUUUAUGUGACAAUAAGUGCUUUUGAUGUGGUUUUCUUCAUAUUUUGCAGGAAAUUGAAUUAUAAGUUGAUUUGGAGAAUAACAGAAGAAAUCAAGUGAAAUCGAGGCAAAAAGAGAGCUAAAACUGAAAAUUGGAAAUGGCAGUGAAAUAUUCUUCGCGGCCGUGUGGUCAACGAGUCAUGAUCGUGGUCAACAAACAACUAACUCUUCCGGAUCGUGUGAAGAUGUUUCACGAUCGCGAUGGCUUAGUCAACAUUGACUUCGUGAUCAUUGUCAAUGUUCACGACCUCGAUGAAGAACAUGUCAGGCUUCAGGGACAGUGUUGGAAAUUGACGUUAUUUUAUCCCAAAUAUUAUUAUACACUCAUGUACAACCAUUUUAGGGGAUGCACUGAUUUACACUAAUUAUAUUGGGAUAUUUUUCAGUUUGGCUUAACUUUGAGAGCAAGGUUUCCACAACAAACAUCAUUAGAGUGAAGAUUGAGAGCUUAAUUUGUAAUGAUUUUUAAUCCUUUCUUAACCUCUUUGCUUUGUAUUGCUUAAUUUCUCUGUGUAGUUGUCAUGGUGAUUUGAAUUUUGUAUUAGAGAUAAAUAAUUUGUGGGUUAUUGAUUUUAAUCUUAUGCUUUUGCAAUUAGUUGAA